GAUGAACGCUGGCGGCGUGCCUAAUACAUGCAAGUCGAGCGAACGGACGAGAAGCUUGCUUCUCUGAUGUUAGCGGCGGACGGGUGAGUAACACGUGGAUAACCUACCUAUAAGACUGGGAUAACUUCGGGAAACCGGAGCUAAUACCGGAUAAUAUUUUGAACCGCAUGGUUCAAAAGUGAAAGACGGUCUUGCUGUCACUUAUAGAUGGAUCCGCGCUGCAUUAGCUAGUUGGUAAGGUAACGGUUACCAAGGCAACGAUGCAUAGCCGACCUGAGAGGGUGAUCGGCCACACUGGAACUGAGACACGGUCCAGACUCCUACGGGAGGCAGCAGUAGGGAAUCUUCCGCAAUGGGCGAAAGCCUGACGGAGCAACGCCGCGUGAGUGAUGAAGGUCUUCGGAUCGUAAAACUCUGUUAUUAGGGAAGAACAUAUGUGUAAGUAACUGUGCACAUCUUGACGGUACCUAAUCAGAAAGCCACGGCUAACUACGUG
rnacentral:rRNA from 1 species